rnacentral:rRNA from 1 species
GACAGAGGUGCCGAGCGUUAGGCGGAAUCACUGGGCUUAAAGCGUGUGUAGGCGGGCGGGCAAGUACCUUGUGAAAUCCCACGGCUCAACCGUGGAACGGCUGGGUAUACUGCCUGUCUUGAGCCAACUAGGGGCGAGCGGAACAGACGGUGGAGCGGUGAAAUGCGUAGAUAUCGCUUGGAACGCCAAAGGUGAAAACAGGUUGCUGGGGGUUGUGCCGACGCUGAGACACGAAAGCCAGGGGGAGCAAACGGGG